rnacentral:rRNA from 1 species
AGGGCACCACCAGGAGUGGAGCCUGCGGCUUGAUUUGACUCAACACGGGGAAACUUACCCGGCCUGGACACUGGAAGGAUUGACAGAUUGAGAGCUCUUUCUUGAUUCAGUGGGUGGUGGUGCAUGGCCGUUCUUAGUUGGUGGAGCGAUUUGUCUGGUUAAUUCCGAUAACGAACGAGACUCUAGCCUAUUAAAUAGGCUCUCGGCUUUUAAACGCCGGGAGGACUUCUUAGAGGGACAGGUGGCGGUUCAGCCGCACGAAAGAGAGCAAUAACAGGUCUGUGAUGCCCUUUGUUGUCCGGGGCCGCACGCGCGCUACACUGAAGAGAUCAGCGUGCUUUACGUUCCUGCUCCGACCGGAGUGGGGAACCCAGUGAACCUUCUUCGUGAUUGGGAUAGAAGAUUGUAAUUAUUCUUCUUGAACGAGGAAUUCCCAGUAAAUGCGAGUCAUAAGCUCGCGUUGAUUACGUCCCUGCCCUUUGUACACACCGCCCGUCGCUACUACCGAUUGAACGAUUU